rnacentral:tRNA from 1 species
UCCCUGGUGGCUCAGAUGGUAAAGAACCUGCCUGCAAUGCAGGAAACCUGGGUUUGAUCCCUGGGUUGGGAA